AUGAAUUCACAAGAGUAAGGAUGGCCAUCAGACUCCUGGCCUGGAUGAGCCUGGCUGGAUCUGACCAAGAGGAAGACAAGGUUUGGAAGAGGCUUGGGGCUGGUUCCAUUUGACAGAGGAAGCCCCAGGGCCUGGAGCUGUCCUAUUGUAGAAAUUCUACAGAAAUGUUAAAACCUAGAUCCCUGUCGCAGUGCAGCUCAGUGGCUUAAGAAAGGCAUUCGGCGCCUGGCUGCUUCAGCUUCCCUAUAUGUAAACUGGAAUACUCACUCUCCUCGACUCACCUUCUGCAAAUAGACUGUGGAAACCAAAUAUGAAAAUGUAUUUCAAGCACUUUAGAAAUAAAGUUGCUAUAUAAAUACAAUGGAUUUAAAGUCUCUGUGCUGAGCAUUCCCUGGUUUCCCAUUGCUACAAAAUAAUUUAAGAUGCUGAACUCAUUUUGUGAUUGUUCUGCUUUUCAUGAGUUUUAAUGUGUGUUUGAAAGAUAUACAAGUUCAAAAGUGCCAUUUGCUUGACUUUGACUCGUUCACCCUUUGGUGUGGUGGAAGAAUACGGAUGCAUAUGGAACAGAAUAUAUAUGUACUUGGAGCUGGGAGACCUCUUGGAGUAAUGUCCUCACUUUACAAAUGAGGACACCAUGUCCAGACAGAGAAAAGAAUGCACUGGAAGAGCAUGGGUCGCUAGUGGCCAAGCAGGUCCUGCAUGCAGACCCUCCGACCUUUACUCUAGUCCUCCCCACCUGGCAGGGGCCAGAACAUUUCUAGAGUUAAAUAAUGCAAGACUGAAUAUGGAUGGGAUCACUGACUGAGAGCAGCAGGGUGGAGAUGUGGAACUGUGAAUAAAUUACGGCACUUGAGCCAGAGUGGGGUGCAAAAGGGAACUGGAGAAGUGCAAAAGAUAAAUGAGCCUUCAGAUGGGAAGGAUGGAAAUGAGAAGAUGAGGCUGAUCUGGGAAUGGGCAGAGCUCACAGUGACAGCCUCAGCUCAGGACAGGACAGGAGAGCCAGAAGCACCCACCCAGGGGCCACGGAUGCCAGGAUGCUACAGCUCCUUCAAGUGGACAGAUGCGUUGCCUGAGGUCCAGUAGAAUCCAGCCUGGGCCAGAGUGUGACAUGGCAGACAGGCAGCC